UACGAAGGGGGCUAGCGUUGCUCGGAAUUACUGGGCGUAAAGGGCGCGUAGGCGGAUGACACAGUCAGAUGUGAAAUUCCCGGGCUUAACCUGGGGGCUGCAUUUGAUACGUGUUGUCUAGAGUGAGGAAGAGGGUUGUGGAAUUCCCAGUGUAGAGGUGAAAUUCGUAGAUAUUGGGAAGAACACCGGUGGCGAAGGCGGCAACCUGGUCCUUGACUGACGCUGAGGCGCGAAAGCGUGGGGAGCAAACAGG
rnacentral:rRNA from 1 species